rnacentral:rRNA from 1 species
UACGUAGGUGGCAAGCGUUGUCCGGAUUUACUGGGUGUAAAGGGCGAGUAGGCGGGACUGCAAGUCAGUAGUGAAAUACCACGGCUCAACCGUGGUACUGCUAUUGAAACUGUGGUUCUUGAGUAAUGGAGAGGCAGGCGGAAUUCCCGGUGUAGCGGUGGAAUGCGUAGAGAUCGGGAGGAACACCAGUGGCGAAGGCGGCCUGCUGGACAUCAACUGACGCUGAGGAGCGAAAGCGUGGGGAG